UACGGAGGGUGCAAGCGUUGUUCGGAUUCAUUGGGCGUAAAGCGAGUGUAGGCGGAUUGACAAGUCGGAUGUGAAAUCCCGGGGCCCAACCCCGGAACUGCACCCGAUACUGUCUGGCUAGAGUCCCGGAGAGGGUGGCGGAAUUCCCGGUGUAGGGGUGAAAUCCGUAGAUAUCGGGAGGAACACCAGUGGCGAAGGCGGCCACCUGGACGGUGACUGAAGCUGAGAUUCGAAAGCGUGGGUAGCAAACAGG
rnacentral:rRNA from 1 species